rnacentral:rRNA from 1 species
AUACGGAGGGUGCGAGCGUUGUUCGGAAUUAUUGGGCGUAAAGCGCGUGUAGGCGGUUUGUUAAGUCUGAUGUGAAAGCCCCGGGCUCAACCUGGGAAGUGCAUUGGAUACUGGCAGACUUGAAUACGGGAGGAGGGCAGUGGAAUUCCUGGUGUAGGAGUGAAAUCCGUAGAUAUCAGGAGGAACACCGGUGGCGAAGGCGGCUGCCUGGACCGAUAUUGACGCUGAGACGACGAAAGCGUGGGUAGC